ACACUAUUUGCACAAUGCAACAUGUUUUGGUAAAUUAGUCUUUGCAAAAAAAUUGUGUAGCUUUUGUACAAAAUAUUUUUUUUCUUGGUAAUCCCCCUCCCCACCAGAGGUUUUAUACACACGCUUUAGGUUUUCAGAAACAUGUGAGCUGUUGUGCAAGAAUUGUUUUUUUUUUUUUUUUACAACAGAACCAAUUUGGCACCAAAAAAAAAUCUCCAUGGUGAUUUGUAGAAACACAGAGCCCAGAAACAGCAGUACUUCCAUGGAUGUUUGUAGAAACAACCCUGUUUGUGGGCUUUCACUGACUUCAACACUACCUUGACUCUCAUGAUAGCUGAACACCUUGGCAGCAGUGGCUGCUGGGCAAGAAAUGGCUAGUGGCAGUCACUCACACCUGGAGUGAAGUUGGCUGGAGCAUCAAAGGACAAAGGAAGGGGAAAAGGAGGAAUUGCCCACUCCUUUCCCGCCACUAUGAUGAUAGGGGAAGUGCUCCAAACUGUGAGUCGCAACACAUUAGUGUGUUGGUUGCAGUGUGUAGAUGUGUCGCAUGAACGCAACAAAAAACCUCAGAGUCUAUGUGAAAUAAGCAAUAUCAACUUGCAUGCAUUUUUAUGAAGCAGGGGCUGAUUAGUAAUAGUAAUGUUGUUAAUAUUAGUAUUAAUAACAAAAAUCUUGGAAAUGUAUAUUACUAUCUUACAAAUAACAUAUUUUAAAAAAUAUAAAUGAAAGGUUUUCAUGAGAUAUGUUGUAUCCCCAUAGAAGAGGUAAAGGUAAAGGUUUUCCCAUGACAUUAAGUCUAGUCAUGUCCGACUCUGGGGGUUGGUGUUCAUCUCAAUUUCUAAGCUGAAGAGCCGGCGUUGUCUGUAGACAUCUCCUAGGUCAUGUGGCCAGCAUGACUGCUGUGAGCACCAUUACCUUCCCACUGGAGCGGUACCUGUUGAUCUACUCACAUUUGCAUGUUUUCGAACUACGUACUUGGUUGGCAAAAGCUGGGGCUAACAGCAGGAGCUCACCCCGCUCCCCGGAUUCAAACUGCCAACCUUUGGUCAGCACAUUCAUCAGCUCAGAGGUUUUACUUGCCACCAGGGGCUCCUGUUGUAUCCUCAUACAUUUCAUUAUUAGAAUUUUUGUAUGUCCAUCUCUGUUAUAAGGGGUUGGUUUAAACUCCAGUUUGCUAGUACAAUUGAUUUACUGUGUCACAAAAUGAUGCAUGUCUAAAAAGAGUGUAACCAACAUAAAAUGUUUGGAAAGCUCUGCUAUAGUUGCAGAUAUUUCCCCCAUUCAGGUUGGCCAGUUGCACACUCCAUAUUCAUGGACUAUAAUUCAAUCAAACACAAAAAUACUUUAGGAGAGGAGACACAAUAAACAAAAACAAUGUCAGGAGAGAAUCUGUAUCCUUAGUGUGGGCCAAGUUUGAAUAAACAGAAGGAGUUCAAGGAUACAGAUGGUUUCCUGCCAUUGUUUCACCUCUUUUAGGGCCAAAUUAACCCAUACAUGAAAUGGGUGGAUGAGUUUCAUGUGUCUGUUCUUUCUAAUUUAAAGAGCAGCCAUAGGGAGCUGCAAAGAGGGCUGAUAAGAACUGGAACUACAGGGUGAGAGGAUAAGUUACUGGCACCAAUGAAAGACUCACUUGCUGGGUAAACCUUUUUUUUAAAGGCCUUAGCACAGAAAAAAGCCCCUUCCCUAUGUGGAACAGUUCAUCUCGAGUUGCUAUUUUUUAAAAAAGUGCACUCACACGUUUAGUACUUUGCAUCUUCAAUAUGAAUGUGUGAAUCUCUUCAUUUAGUUGAGGUUCCACUGAUUCCAAACUUGCCAGAUUUGUUAGUAUUAUUAGUAUUUUAUCUACGUGGAUCUUUUCAUGUGUUCCUAACUGCAUUCCUCAGAAUUCACAUAGUUUUUGUAGCUUCUUUUUCUUUUCUUUUCUUUUUUUUGGAUCUUGUGAAUUACCCUGCUAGCUCAGAAAUGUUCAAACUUCUAACUUCAAAUUGCAGCCAGGUUCUCAUUUGGGUUCAAUAAAUGUGACCUGGGUAAUUCCACAUAAAAAUGUAACAUAGGCCAAUGAUCGGGGUUUUUUUCAAUAUGGUAGUUUUUAAAAAGUAUUUUUGAGUGCCAAAUGUACAAAACACAAAAUUGUCACAACACAAUUCUAUCUCCGAUUCUACACUUUUAUUAAUUAAGUCGCUGAUUAAGUUUGGAUGCUGAUCUUCCAGUGCUAUUUCUUUGGUGCUUUUGAAUGUUUUUUUGUGUUUCACGUUGAAAAAUUAAAGUGUUUUGAAAGACUUUUCUUGUUGUUUGGUCUUCACAGACAUUUACGGAUCCACCACUUACGGAUCCAUUGGCUACCUCUAGUAAAUAAUCAUUCUUGGCCACGACUGCCUAUGAUGAUGACGUUUGCUCUUUAUCCGCAAAGAAAUUUUACUCAGUCACAUAUUACAAAGUAAAAAUAAAAAUAUCAGAGGACAAUUCAGUGUAGCAUUUAUUUGGCCAUAUCUUCAUAGGUGUUUGGGCAAAUUUUGGGGGGACUGAGAUUAUUUACCUCAAUUGUGAUUGAAUCUGACUAUUUUUCUCAGGGAAGUUACUUGACGGCAACUCAGGGAAAACAAAACCAACAACGUUUGAGCAGUUGAGCAAUGGGGCUCUGUUAACAGCUUUUGCUGUUGCAUUAAUUAAAAUGCUGAUUUAAAAAAACCAAAACAAAGAGACUUGAGCAAAAUAAUGUUGCCAUAGGGUACUAAAUAAUAAAAGCAACCAAGCACAUUUUAAAAUUAAACAAUAUUCAAUUCAUAUUGGUGGCAGCAACUUCAUUUGUAGGCUUUAAAAAGCCCA